rnacentral:lncRNA from 1 species
CAGCACAGUAUGCUAGUACUGCGCUGAUCCUUCUUUGAUGGUUGAUCAGGUGCCUCCUUCUUCUUGAUUUGGACUCUUCCAAAGAUGGAAAGUAUAAGGAGGAGUUUCAGAUCUGAGACGCUCUCAGAAAACUCAAGAUGGAGGGAGGAAAGAUAUGAAAACAAAAACCCUAGAAGAAGACCCUCUUCUUCUUCACAUUUUUCUCUCUAGACACCCAAACUUGCAUCUUUUAUAUCUCCAUGACAUAAAGGUAUUUCUCUCUGAUUUUUGGAUGGCACAAAGGUCUCUGAAAUCUCUAAUUUCUCCUAAAAUUUUACAAAGAAACUCAUCUUAUAUAGAGAGAUAUGAUAGAGUCCUUGUCUAGGUCAAACACCUAGUCAAGGCUUAUCCAAACAUGGCAAGUUAAGGGACGCCCAACUCUUGAGCACCUCCUUCAUAUUUUCAUACAUGGAUCACCAGCAAAGGGUGCACAAUAUGUACCCUAAAAUCCACAAAAAUUCUAAAAAAAAAUUUGGAUAAAUUCGGUGCAAAAUUGAAAGAGUUUUGGAUUUCUAAAACUCUAUCUCAUAGAAUUCGAAAUCCAA